rnacentral:rRNA from 1 species
GACGAACGCUGGCGGCGUGCUUAACACAUGCAAGUCGAACGGAAAGGCCCUGCUUGCAGGGUACUCGAGUGGCGAACGGGUGAGUAACACGUGGGUGAUCUGCCCUGCACUUCGGGAUAAGCCUGGGAAACUGGGUCUAAUACCGGAUAGGAGCCAUUUUUAGUGUGAUGGUUGGAAAGUUUUUUCGGUGUAGGAUGAGCUCGCGGCCUAUCAGCUUGUUGGUGGGGUAAUGGCCUACCAAGGCGGCGACGGGUAGCCGGCCUGAGAGGGUGGACGGCCACAUUGGGACUGAGAUACGGCCCAGACGCCUACGGGAGGCAGCAGUGGGGAAUAUUGCACAAUGGGCGCAAGCCUGAUGUAGCGACGCCGCGUGGGGGAUGACGGCCUUCGGGUUGUAAACUCCUUUCGCUAGGGACGAAGCUUUUUGUGACGGUACCUAGAUAAGAAGCACCGGCUAACUACGUG